rnacentral:rRNA from 1 species
AGUGAACGCUGGCGGUAGGCCUAACACAUGCAAGUCGAACGGCAGCACAGUAAGAGCUUGCUCUUACGGGUGGCGAGUGGCGGACGGGUGAGGAAUACAUCGGAAUCUACUUUUUCUUGGGGGAUAACGUAGGGAAACUUACGCUAAUACCGCAUACGACCUACGGUUGAAAGCAGGGGAUCUUCGGACCUUGCGCGUUUGAAUGAGCCGAUGUCGGAUUAGCUAGUUGGCGGGGUAAAGGCCCACCAAGGCGACGAUCCGUAGCUGGUCUGAGAGGAUGAUCAGCCACACUGGAACUGAGACACGGUCCAGACUCCUACGGGAGGCAGCAGUGGGGAAUAUUGGACAAUGGGCGCAAGCCUGAUCCAGCAAUACCGAGUGGGUGAAGAAGGCCUUCGGGUUGUAAAGCCCUUUUGUUGGGAAAGAAAAGCAGCAGGUUAAUACCCCGCUGUUCUGACGGUACCCAAAGAAUAAGCACCGGCUAACUUCGUG